UACGUAGGGUGCGAGCGUUGUCCGGAAUUAUUGGGCGUAAAGAGCUCGUAGGCGGUGUGUCGCGUCGGCCGUGAAAACCUGCAGCUUAACUGUGGGCUUGCGGUCGAUACGGGCAUCACUGGAGUUCGGCAGGGGAGACUGGAAUUCCUGGUGUAGCGGUGAAAUGCGCAGAUAUCAGGAGGAACACCGGUGGCGAAGGCGGGUCUCUGGGCCGAUACUGACGCUGGAGGAGCG
rnacentral:rRNA from 1 species